GCCUACAAUCCAGCCUAACCAACACAUAUGCACCCCGUAUACUUCUGUUUGACGAUAAAACAUUUUAUUAUUUUAGUAGAGGUGAUCGAAAAAAAUCUUAGAGCCCUAGAUUUAGUACCGCAAGGGAAAGAUGAAAUAAUAAUGAAAUAAACUUAAAGCUUCUAAUAGCAGAGAUUAUCACUUGUACCUUUUGCAUCAUGGUCUAGCAAGUCUUACCAAGCAAAACGAAAUUUUUAGUUUGACCCCCCGAAACUAAGCGAGCUACUUCAAAACAGCUUUUUAGAGCGAACCCGUCUCUGUAGCAAAAGAGUGGGAUGAUUUUCAAGUAGCAGUGACAAGCCUACCGAGCUUAGAGAUAGCUGGUUAUUCAAGAAAAGAAUAUUAGUUCUACCCUAAAUUUUGUAGUUUCACUAAACAAAUCCAUAAAUUUAGGAGCUAUUCAAGUAAGGCACAGCUUACUUGAAACAGGAUACAACCUAACCCAACGGGUAAAAAUUCUUUUUAUUAUGAUAAGUGGGCCUAAAAGCAGCCAUCUUUCAAAAAGCGUUAAAGCUUAGCUAUACUAUACCUCGAUAAUACCACAAAUUAUUUUUAACCCUUCUUCACUAUUGAAUGAAUCCAUACGUAUAUGGAUGACACCAUGCUAGAACUAGUAACAAGAAUUUUUUCUCCAAAAUAUAAAUGUAAGCCAAAACCAAUUAAUGGCAUUUAACGAAUAUGAACCUACUGUAGCAACUUUCACUGGAAAACCCUUCAGUAACCCCCGUUAACCUAACACUAGAGUAUUUCUGGAAAGAUUUACAGAGAGAGAAGGAACUCGGCAAAUUUUAACCCCGCCUGUUUACCAAAAACAUCGCCUCUUGAUUAAACAUAAGAGGUCCAGCCUGCCCAGUGACAAAGUUCAACGGCCGCGGUACCCUGACCGUGCGAAGGUAGCAUAAUCACUUGUUCUUUAAAUAGGGACUAGUAUCAACGGCAUCACGAGGGUUACACUGUCUCCUCCCUCUAAUCAGUGAAACUGAUCUCCCCGUGAAGAAGCGGGGAUUUAAAUAUAAGACGAGAAGACCCCAUGGAGCUUCAAACCCACAGCAACUCUCAACACUUAUACCCCGAUAUAUUAGAGUUAUGCACAACGGUUUUAGGUUGGGGUGACCGCGGAGUAAAAACUAACCUCCACGACGCACAGAACUACUCCUUUAUCCAAGAAUUACUAUUCUAAGAAUCAGCAGACUGACGUAAAAUGACCCGAUAAUCGAUCAACGAACCAAGUUACCCUGGGGAUAACAGCGCAAUCCACUUCAAGAGCCCAUAUCGACAAGUGGGUUUACGACCUCGAUGUUGGAUCAGGGUAUCCCAGUGGUGCAGCCGCUACUAAUGGUUCGUUUGUUCAACGAUUAAAACCCUACGUGAUCUGAGUUCAGACCGGAGCAAUCCAGGUCGGUUUCUAUCUAUAAAGAGCUACUUCUAGUACGAAAGGAUCGGAGUAGCAUGGCCAAUACUGAAUCAAGCCAUACUCUUCACUAAUGCACUCAACUUAAUUAGCUUAGAACUACCCCAUGCCCAUAGACAAUGGC
rnacentral:rRNA from 1 species